GCAGCUGAGUUUUAUGUUAGCCUCUGGCUUGUAGUACAGCUCUUGCACUGGGAAUGUAUUAUAAGUGCUGUGACUGGGUCAUGAGCAGCAUUGUUUGCUAAAGGGUGUGUCGCUGACUGCAUGAAGCAUUAAACACAACUGCCGUUCAGGAAAAGGAAAAAACAUUUUAGAGAAUGAAGAGAAAAUGUUAUAAAGCAUUUAAAAAUAUAAAUAACAGCAUGUGAGGAAAUCGUUCUGAAGGAACAGGAUGCACAUGAAGGCGCUGAAACAGCCACAUGGACGUUUGUGAGCAUAUGACUGACGAAUGGUACAGUACGUUCACUUGCCGUCCGGAGACUCGUCAGAGUGACAAGUUGGAGCCGUAGAAGAUAGAGAUGACUCACAACUGGAGCUUUAUGUAAAUAAGGAACCUCUUGUGUUGCGUCCCGUUGUACCAAUGAGGCCACGUAAAGUUCACGUCAGUGACGUUGCGUUCCCAUGUCCCCUCUGUGUUUGAGGCAGGGCAGGGAAAUGGGGUAAGAUAGGUGUGGUUCCCCCAGAGAGGUCAAAACUGGUAGUGAAUCUGAAUGUGAAACCCCUGGAACAUCAGGCCGAAGAUUCCUUCCCAGCAGCAAUGCCUGGACAAAGUUUGCUGUUGCUUUUUGCUGUCAGUUGCAAAAGUGAUCGAGCCUCUUGUCACUGACUGAAAAUUUUGAGGGGGAUCCAGAUAAGGGGGAAGUAGUGAAUUUAGGCGAAGCGUUCUCUCCCUGGGAAUUAAUCACUUUUAGUAAGAUUUAUGGGUCAUCUGUGACAUAGCUAACAAACUCAUUUAGCUUAUCCAAAGCACAAAAAAAGAUCCUGCUGCUAAGUGGCAUAAUACUGCACGUGCUCUCCUAAUGGCCUCGUGUAGGCAGCAUAUCCUGGGCAAGAGCAAUGAGGAGGAGUGGAAGCGUGAAAAGCAGUGCAGUUGAAUUGUGUCUAUCCAAAGCCACAGAUAAUAUUAUUCCAGGUGGAGGGCCAAAUUCUCUGAUUCACCCACACAAAAAUCACGCUGAAGUUUACUGAAGACAAUGGCAUUAAUCUAGUGUAAAACUAAUAUGAGAGAGAAGAAUGCCAACCUCCAAAAUGUUGACCUCCUUAGCUGUCUUAUUUCUAGGGCGCCAUGAUUCAUGUGUGUGUAUAUAUUGCUAGGAGACAUAGCAUAGUCCAGCUACUGCAGAGGACUGCAGAGAGCCAAGAGGUAUGAAAAAGUCGACAACCUAGAAAGAAUUUGUCUUGCAUUAGAUAUGUUGUUUGAAAUCAGAAGGAAGAUUUAAUUGACUCCAGUGGGAGUUUUGCUUGAGUAAGGACUUCUUAGGAGGUGAAAUGACACAUGAAAAAAAAAAAAUCUACCUUGCUAGCCCAGAGCUCACAGAAGAGUGACUCCCUUUAUUUACACUAUGUAAUUCUGUUCGGGCAGAUGCAAGUAACUUCCCUCAAAUUGUUUCAGAGCCACAUCACUUUUUCUCAAUAUUCAGCAUGUUUCUUCUUAAAUAUGAUUCUGUUCCUUUAUCUGUAGAUAUUAUCUGACUGAAAUACUAUACAAAUUUUUUCUCAUCCGUUACAGUCAUACUCAUUUGAUAAUGCUCAGUAGAUUUAGUUUAUUUACCUCUGUCUCAUUUUUUCCUUUUCUAAUUGAUUCAGACAUUCAUCUGUGGUAACCAGCCCUACCUAUUUUAACCCUACCCUCAUUAGUAUUGCAGCUACAGAAUUAAUGUGUGCUUUGACUUCCAGAGAAGUCUGCAGUAAACUUCCCAGACAGGUGAUGAAUUGAUGCAACUCUCAUUUCUCACUGGAUUGUAAAGGUCAGUCUUAUGAUGCUAAGAGUUCCUCCAUGAGCUAAGUCCUUCAUAUAGUUUUGCUUUUUUCGCCUGUUCUCCACUCUGUCCCACAAUGUAAUAGCUGAUAAUUAUGCUUUUUUCAAUGGUGUGUCUCCUGGUCUGUUGAAGGUAGGACUUUUUUCUCAGCAGAAAGCUGACUCAUAAGGUAUGCUUCCUUCUAUCCUUAGAAAAAGUGAGUCACUAAUGGAUUUUUCAUUAUACAUUCAAGUACCGUAAGACUGAAAUUUUGUCCUACCAGUCUAGUCCUGAGGUAGUGUUUGGAAGUCUUUUUGAUUUGGUAUUUUAGUUAUGUCUCAGUGAGACUCUGUGAGAUACAAUAGAUGCUGUAAAAGGAGCUGGUUUUUAUUAUAUGCUAUGAGUAUUCCCAUUAACUUCAGUAGUGCCAUGGUUUCACUUUUUGCGUGCGGUGUGUUUCCCUAGCUAAAAACCGAUAAAACUCCCUUUACACCUGAAUCAUGACACAUUCAGCAUCUGUUUUCACCCAACACAAAUAGGUUGCAGUUGUUUUUCAGAGCUGUGUGAAAGCUGAGGAGACUGGGACAUAACUAAAAUAAUAUGAAUCCCACUGGUACUAUUGCAUUAAUAGAAAUAGUCAUUUGGUUCAGGCAACACUAAUUUGGUGAUCUUUCAGGCACUCAGUGAAGGUUCACCAGUCUUCACAAUGGCCCAUGACAGAAAGCUAAAUGCUGUUAUUUCUAUUUUAUAAACAAAGGAAUUAAGGUUGGAGGAGAUUAAGUUGUGAUAGGGAGGCAAUGGAAGUAUUGUGGAUGCAACCCAGGAAUCCUGUACAUUAUUUUUUUUCCAAUGCAACAAUAUUUUAUAUCAAAGAUUUUGCUGUAUUUACAGUCACUGCUAUUUAACUUUGAGUGAUGUCAAUGUGAAUGAGCAUCUGGCAGAAUCUGUGUAGAGUUGCAACACGGUCUGCAGUUCACAGGAGGGUACCAGCUUUGCCUGUCCAUGUUUUAUUCUGUUAAACUAGCUUUGCAGGGUGUCGUGAGGGGGGAGGUCUGAAUCUCUCUGAUACUGACAGGAGCUGUUAUUUAAAACUGCAUGAUGAAGAUGCAAAAGGAUGUUGCCUUGUUCUUCACUACACAAAAGUGGACAUGCUGCAAUGACAAGUUUGUAAAUCACAGUUAGUUCCAUUCUCACACCACCCAAUAACUUUACAAUCUCUCUGUCAACUUCCUGUCGACCUUGGGAAGCUAUAAUUUGUGAUAAAAAUGAGAGUUAAAAUGUUACAUGUAUAUCAAAGCUGAAAAAUUGUGGCUGGCUGACCUUUUCUUUUUGAGCAAAUGCACUCAUUUCCUUUACGUGGCUUACUAUUUCCCUCUGAAGCUUGGAAUAAUAGGAAAUCCUCCAUGAUUGUUCUCCUUAAUCAGUGGCUCCAUUGUGCCGGCUUCUGUUCCUUUCAAUAAGCAGUGCAGAGGAUGUCGCUGUGCUGGUGAUGGGGCAUCGUGCUCUGUGCUGCCAAGCAUCAGUGCCUCACAGACUCAAACAUUUCAGUUCAGCUGCCAUGGAUGAGAGAAUACCAUGAGCGGUGUGUGCUAAUUUCAGUAUGUUGUCAGAAUAAGGAAACAGCCCCCUAAUUUUCAGUUUAGAAAAAAAAGAAAAAGCAGGCACUCACUGGAUUUUACAGUGAGAUUUCCCAGUGUUUGUGAUUAGGCUUAGAUGAAUAAUGAAAAUGAAAAGUUCAUAAAUUUAGAUUGUGCUUCAUUUCCAUAUGUGGGGUAAUGUCAUUAGUUGUCAUGUCACUGCUAAUAUUUGCAUAGUCAUCUGAUAAUUAUAAAGAAGGCCUACGGAUCUUUAGGACAAAUAACCUCUCCAGAAAUAUAUUCUGAAAUGCCUACUAAUUAUGACUAGCACAUCAUCUUUCAUUUUCUGAUUUAUUUCUCUUUGUCAUCCAGUCAAGGGACAGAAGUUCUAUGUUGUGACCGUACACCACAAACCACAGUCAGUGUAGCAUUUGUAUACAUGCCUCUUGCUAAACGCUAGGCAAGUUUUUAGAAAUAAAUACGGUCAAUAGCUUAAAAUAGUUUGUGAAAUAAAAGAAAGGCUAAAGUUGCAAAAAAGAUCAUUGGUAUUGCCUUUUCCUUCCCAUUCUCGUCCCCAUCCCUUGCGGGGGGGGGGGUAUGGGGAGUGAGCGGUUGCAUGGUGCCCAGCUGCCAGCUGGGGCUAAACCACAACACCUCUACUUUGUAAAGCAUAACAUAAACAAAACCACAGUGACGGUCCUGUGCUCAGGAAGAGCUGGUGGUUCACCAAGUCUUAUCUCUUGCUUCCUCUUGCAGCACAGUGAUGUCGACAUCAUGUUCCUGCACAUGCAAUAUGCAAAAAGCUAAGGGUUCGUAAUUCAGUGUUGGCACAAAUAAACAAUUUUUGCUUGUUGCUAUUGAUUUUCUGCUGUUCUGCUUUUCUCCAAUAAACUUGAUAUCUGCAGGGAGCCAGGUAGUCAGUCAGUCUCUGCAGACAUUUUGCAGUACAUCCAGUUUUUUCUUUCCUAUCACAUGGCUUUCAAGAGCAGCUUGCAAUAAAAAAGAUAGAGCAGUGUCCAGAGGACUUUUGUCAGCGUGUAACCCAUUCUUUUUGCAGAAAGU